rnacentral:lncRNA from 1 species
ACAAUUAUAAAAUAAAGUAAAAUAAGAGGAAUACAAACAAAAUAUGGAAACUAUGAGGACUAACACAAAUAGCACUUUGAAAAGUCAUUAAAAAAAUCCAAAAGAAGAAAAAAAGAGAAGGGGCAAAAAUAAACCUUGAAUCCUAUAGGCUCAUUUAUGCACCUUUAUAAUUUUGGAAUUAAAGCUUAUUCCAAAGAAUUAUGUUUGUGGUUCAUGUUGCUAAAUUAUUACCACUCAUAACCAAGACCAUAACGAUAUCCCAAUCUUUAACUCUUUUUUCUCACUAACAAAUUCCCACUUCUCCUUCAUCACUAUCUUGUCCACUUCUUGCACACAUAGUAAUAAUCAACUUAAUAAAACCAGAAAGAAAUACUCUUUCUCUAUGUUAAGUGCUCAAAGACCUACCACCAGCACCUCCACAAGCCAUGGAGAAACCGAUCACGACCAAGAACAUGAAGAUAUCCGCGAUAUCCAUGCCUUAACCCCACCCCCGCCGCCUUCGGUGCCUCGAGGCCGUUGGGAAACGGGUAGCCAUCGCUCAAUAUCCAUGAGUAGUGAAGGGGCUGCAAGUGAGAACUUCACCUCCAUGAGUAGAGAGUUCAAUGCUUUGGUUCUUGCUGGUUCUGCAAUAGGAACUAGCAUGAACAACAACAAUAGCGGUUCUGAUCAUAAUGAAGAUAGCAACUUAAACAACCUGUUGGCUAGGAUUGGGGAAGAUGAAGUUCCUGAAGAGACUAACCCUUUGGCUAUUGUGCCUGAUACUCCGCCCUUGGACCCAGAACCCAGCUCAAGCUCAAGAAGGGUUGGGUCCAAUCAGGUGGUUGUUGGUGCUGGUGGUGGUGGUGCUGAUGUGUCAGUGCAGAGAGUGAAGAAAGAAGAGAUAGAAACCAAGAUAUCUGCAUGGCAAAACGCAAAGAUUGCUAAGAUCAAUAAUAGGUUCAAAAGAGAGGAUGCCAUAAUUAAUGGCUGGGAAAGUGAGCAAGUGCAAAAGGCUUCUUCUUGGAUGAAGAAAGUUGAGGUAUGUAUAGAAAGAAAUUAAUUAUUAGUCUAGUAUAUUAAUUAUUUAUUAAUUUGCCUGUUAAUUAAAUUUUUGAAUUGAUGAUCCAAAGCUAAUAUGUUUCCCUUCUCAUGCAGAUUUUUUCAUGAUUAUACUAAGGACUUGUUAAUUAAUUACUCAAUUGAGAAACAGAUAACAAUCAUAAUUUCUUUGUUGAAUUUUUUGAACCAUAUUGAUUAGAGAGAGUCUUGAUGAUGUAGGUGAAGUUACGUUGAUACUUUACCUAUAUGACAAGAGUUAAUAUAGACCACUAGUUUAUGAUCAAAUAAUGGAAUUUCUUGGAUUUGUAUUUUAUCUAUUGCUAGUUAGUGAGCUAAUUUUAGCUCAAGUUUCAAUUUCAGUAAUUAUUGCUUCCACAAAAGAUAAUAACUAACUUUCAACAAGAAAAGUAUUUUCAUGCUUCAAGCACUACUCAAGACAGAAAAGUACAUGUGAGAAUUAUACCUUUACAAUUGAUAAGGCAUUUUCAUAACGGCUUAUAUCUAAAGCAUGUAUAUGUCUUUUACUGUUUCUUCUUCUUCUCCUUCUUUUCUUUUUUUUUUCUUGUAUCAACUAGAAAAUUAAUGUUGUCUCUGUUUUUAACACUCUCUUUUUUGUUCUAACUUAUAUGAGCUUGAUUUAUUUAGAGGAAGCUGGAGGAGAAAAGAGCAAGAGCACUAGAGAAGAUGCAGAAUGAAGUAGCAAAAGCACACAAGAAAGCAGAGGAUAGAAGGGCAUCAGCUAAGGCUAAAAGAGGAACAAAAGUUGCUAGAGUUCUUGAAACAGCCAAUUUGAUGAGAGCUGUUGGAAGAGCUCCUGCUAAAAGGUCCUUCUUUGAACCUUAUAGUACUAUACAAUAUAAUCUACUAUAAUCAUAUAGAACAUAUUUUACUUAAAAAGACAAAAAAAAAAAAAAAAAAAAAAAAAAAAAGAAUGGUGGACAAAAAUAAUUGUCCCAAACUAUUAGGGUUCCUACAUCUUUUGAACUAUAGGAAACCCAUGUCUGAAAUGGGGCAGUGAGGAAUUGCACUCAAAAACUAAGGAUGAACUAAGGCUCAGAUUGAAAUCUUCAGUAUUUUCCAUUUCCAUCAAAUUAAGCUUUCCACAGUCUCCAAUAACCAAAGUUUCUAAUGCAGAUAGAUUCCUUAUACCGCGAGGUAAGGAUGCUAGACUCCCGCAAGAAGUUAUAACCAAUGUUCGAAAGGAUGUCAGAGCCUGCAUAUCAUCAAACAAUUUUUCCAAACUCCCACAUUCAAACAAAGACAGAUAUCUUAGAGAACUGACACAUCCUAUACCAUUUUCUGGUAAGGAAGUCCGUUUUGUAGUUAUCUCCAAAAACCUGAGGCGAGUCAUCUGCUUGAUAUCUCUAGGAAUUUCUUCAAGCUUCUCACAUUCUUCAAGUCUUAAGGUCUGCAAAUUCUGCAGCCUGCAAAUGGAAUUAGGGAGUUUUCGAAGCUUCCGAUUCCUAUAAAGGUCAAGAUAUCUCAAAUUCUUCAAUGUACCAAUUGAAUUUGGCAAUGUCUCAAAGCAUGAAUCGCUAAGAUUAAGCACUCGUAAGUGCUUGAAUCUUGACAUGCAGGUGUCAAUAAAUGUUCCGCUAGUAGGCCCCAUCCCCCUAACUGGGAAAAAUAUAGUUCUUACCUUCUCUAACUUGUGCAAGAACUUAGGAACUUGUUGACUUGGCAAAUUACAGUUGAGCACUCGCUUUGCGCAACUGAUAUAGCUAGAUCAUGUACAAGAUCAUGCAUUUUGCAGGAAAAAAAGAAACCGUGAUCCUCAAUAUCUUGGAGAAAAGAUCUCGACCAUAGUUCUUUCACAAAACGCAACCCAUUCUCUUUCAAUUCUUCAUCUUCAUCAGGCGAUUCAAGAAGUCCAUAAGCCAUCCAAAAUUGAAUCAAUUCAAAACUGUACAACACAUAAUUUUUGGGAAAGAGGGAACAAUAAGCAAAACAUCGUUUCAAGUAAGAUGGCAUGUGAUCAUAGCUCAACUUCAGCACCGGUAGGAUGUCAUUUUCUUGAUGUUGUAAUUUCCAUAUCUCAUUGUCUCUGAUGGACACCCAGGUUUUUUCUUCGGUUGAUGAAUAAAGUAGACUUCCUAAAGUUCUCACUGCUAAAGGAACCCCUCCACAUUUCCUUACAAUCUCAUUCCCAAUAUCUAUGAGAUUCGGAUAUUGCUUCUCUUGUCCUGGAUUAAAUGCCCAUUACCAAAACAAAGACAAACAAUCCUUAUGGGAAAGACAGGCAAAUUGUAUGCAAAAUCAUUGCCUACAACAGAAGCAACUUUUGAACUCCUUGUAGUUACAAUAAUUUUACUUCCCAAAGCACAAUCCUCCAACAAACCUCUAAAUUCAACCCAUUUAACCAGAUUUUCAUUCCAAACAUCAUCCAAAACAAGCAAAAACUUUCUACCACCUAAACUCCUCCGCAAUCGUGCUUGCAAUUGAUCCAUUGUCAGGUCACCAUAACUCCUACCAGUAGCAGAACUAGUAAUCUCCUUAGCCAACCUAGUAACAUCAAAUUCCUGAGACACACAAACCCACAUCUUCAAUUGAAAAUUCUUCUCCACCCUUUCAUCAUUAUACACCAUUUUAGCUAAUGUCGUCUUCCCUUGGCCACCAAUUCCAAUUAUACGAACAACUGAAAGAUUUUCUUCCUUACUAUAAUGCAACAANNNNNNNNNNNNNNNNNNNNNNNNNNNNNNNNNNNNNNNNNNNNNNNNNNNNNNNNNNNNNNNNNNNNNNNNNNNNNNNNNNNNNNNNNNNNNNNNNNNNNNNNNNNNNNNNNNNNNNNNNNNNNNNNNGUUAGAUUAUUUAAUAAUCUGUAUGUAGCCCAUGUGAUUAAAGGGCUGGUUCUAAUUAAGGUGGCCCAAGAUGAUGGUUAUUGGGCUUAAUGAAUAAGAGACAGUUAGGGUUUUAAUACCCUUCCUCUGCCUUAUAAAAGAUAAAGGAAUCAACAGAUUAGAGUUAACACAGAAACAAGAGAGUGUGAUGGAUACCUCAAACACAUACGGAGAUAGUAAGCAGUCACAAGGCACAACCAUUAAACUUACACUGAAUCAAUCAGAAAUACAUCAUUCUACUUCUGCUAAAUCUCCUAUUAGUUCCAAAGAAUACCUUGCUUCAUUUAAAGAGAUGCAUAAGGUUAUGAUUAAAGAUUAGACCCGUACUCUCAAUAAGCAAGGCGAAUUUCUACAAUGUUGCUGUCCCAAAUUUGCAAGCUCAACAAUGACACAUCAAUAUACAAGUCCAUUCGCAUUCACGCAUUGGCAUAUCAUAGUAGAUGUAGUNNNNNNNNNNNNNNNNNNNNNNNNNNNNNNNNNNNNNNNNNNNNNNNNNNNNNNNNNNNNNNNNNNNNNNNNNNNNNNNNNNNNNNNNNNNNNNNNNNNNNNNNNNNNNNNNNNNNNNNNNNNNNNNNNNNNNNNNNNNNNNNNNNNNNNNNNNNNUUUUUUUUUUCUGUAAGGCUAAGUAGUAGUUGUGGUUGUAUUGACAAACAGCAAGAAAAAAAUUCAAAAUUCAAUAACAUUUCAAAACCAACAAUAAAAUUACUCCAAGAUAACAAAAGUCAGCAUUCAGCAACGAAAGGGAAUGUACUGUAACAGAGGGAUUACCUUUUUAUGCAGAGCUCAAAACGCUUUUACUUGUACUAGGCUUGGGGAAAAGAAAUAGGUAGCGGCGGUUGCGCUAUUAGGGAAGAGAUUGGAGAAUUUGGGAAUUAGGGGUUUCUUUUCCCCAGGCCAGUUACAAGAAGAGGCGGUUGCGCUAUUAGCCGUGGAGUGGCUAUAAUUGCAAUUUGCAGGGUUUUAGUUGGUAGAUUAACUAACAUAAGCUUAUCGAAUCUUGAGGGUUUUAUUGUUGUUAUUUUAUUUUAGGAAUAAAGUUAAAAAUAUUAAAUUCAAUAUUUUGAGUCAAUUAAAUCUUUGAAUUUGUUUAAAAUAAUCAAAAAAAAAUCAGAUUAACAUUUUAGAUCAAUUUAGUUGUUGAUUCUUCUAUGUAUUUUCAGGCAUAUAAGACUAUAAUUAGAAUUAACUUGUAUAAUUUGUUAAAAUUAAUUAAUUAAUUAUUGAAUGGAAGAAAACUAUCUAUGAAGUAUAUUGUAGCCGUCUUUAUCUUGAUCAAUGAUUUUGAGUUCAUAAAUAUAUAUAUUAAUUUGAAUAUUUUAAAAUGAGGUAAUUACGAAUUUAGUUUCUAAACUUUUGAAAAAUUUUUAUUCAAUAUCUCAACGAAAAAACGUUUACAAUCAAAUUUCUUACCAAAUAAAUUUUUUUCGAUUAGGUGUAUUCAUUUUACGUGGCUUGUUGAAAAUAAGAAUAGGAUUCAUGAGACCCACUUAAUAUUCAAAAUAUUGCUAAGUAGGACGGCAUAUAGCUUAACACGUCGGAUUUAACAUUUAUAGUAUAAAAAAUGUAUUAGUUAAUGCAAAUUUAGUACUAUUAACUAAAUAAAAUAAUGAAAACUUUUAAUUAUCUUGUUACCAGUUUUAUAAAAUGGAUCACGUACGAAACACCAACAAUAAUCUUUUAUAAAAUUUAAAUCAAUGCAUAUAUCAAUUUGGAUAACUCAAAUCUAUAAAUGUUUUAAUAUAUGAUAUUAAUUAAGAUCAUUUUAUAAAAUUUUAUAGAAAAAAUUAUUUAUCUUGGUUAAAUAUUUCCAAAAAUUUUAAUAUUCAUAUUAAGACUUUUUAUUCAUUUAUUUUUUAUGUGAAAUCAUAUCAUUUUCAUAUAAAUUACGUGAUAUGUAAAAUUUUCUUAAAUACAUAUAUAAUCACAAAAAUUUUCAAAUUAGUUUUUUAAAAAAAGAUAUUUGAAAAGGAAAAAGAAAAAGUACGUACAUAAUCAAUUAGAUUUACCUGCUACGAUAAGUUAGCAUGCCAAAUGACACAAAAAGAAAGUACAUGUACUAGUAAAUUAUUUACUGUAGUAGAAGCCAAAAAUAAUAUUCAAUCAAAUUAAGUUUAUUUUGGGUCAAAGUUAAAGAUAAGUAAUAUAGCUGAAGAUUUCUUAAUUAACAGUUACUAAAACAGUUAAUUUUGAAAAACAAAGCACGAUAAUGAUAAGAUUUGGAGGUUUGGAGAAAUUUUUCACUGCUAAUUACGUAAAUAAAUACCCUCUUAUGAUUUCAUUCCAUAAUUUAGUUAAUAAAAUAUCUCAUCGUUUUUUUUUUUUUUUUUUUUGGUUGUUAAGUGUACCUAACUUCAAUACCCACGACGGAAUCAUAUGUGGACUAGCUCGAAAAUAAAUGUUCAAGGUUUGUUAGGAAAUAACUUUCACAUUAGAGAUAUGAAAUAAAUUAUACAGUAGAGUAAUAUAUUAUCUUAAUGAUAAUUUUAAAAAGUGGGUAUAAGAAGUUGUUUUUGCUUAGUUAUAUGAUAUGGACUAUUGUUGACCUAGUUUAUUAAAACUAGAUUAUAAACAUCAUCAUGCCUAGAUAGAGUAAAGAAAUUAAAUAAAUUCUGCAGUAUAAUAGCACACCGAGGCAUCGUCCAAUGAUAAAUGUAUAUACGAUCUGUCAAUAGAUUCAAUUAUUUACUGACUGUAAAUAAUUUUUUGCGGUGGGCACACUAACACUAGAGACCCUUUCAACAUCGGCUCUUUGCUUUUUCACUGGAGAUAACUUCCUCCAUUGUAGUCUCUCCAUUUCUCGUGUUUCCUACAAAAAGCAAUCUUCUGCAUAAGCUAUUCAGGAACUUUCUACUCCUCUAUAUCUCUUCAAUAUACGACUCUCUAUGACUUCCAAAAAUAUCUCUCUUGCUAACAAAAUUGAUUCUUUUUCCAAAAUUUCAAGUAAAAAUUUGUAUUAUAUAAGUUAUCCAUCAAAUAAUGUGAUUUUCACCUUGUAUUACUUGUAUAUGUUUCAUUUUAUCAAUUUCUCCUUCAAUCUAGAUUUUUCUUUAAAACUAUAUAUUUGGGACUUGAAAAGAAAGUGAACAGUAAUUAUAUGGUUUUAGAUUUGGAUCCAAAACAAUUCUAUAUUUGAUUUGAUAAACAUUGUAUUUGACCAUUCAACACCUCAACUUGUAAACAACACUUAUUAUAUAGUUAAAAAUGUAAAAAAUAUUGUUCCAAAAGUUGCAUUAACCACGUAUCAAAUCAAUAUUUUGUAAAUAAAAAUAAAAAACCUUAAAAAAUGUUGCUCUUAAUUAAGGAGGUGUGAGAUUAUUACAAAAAGUGAAAUUCAAUGUAUCACAAGGUUACUUUUAAAUUUAAAAUGCCAUAAAAUUUUGAAAAAUUAAUUAUUUAGUCCCUAAAAUACGAUGAAAUUAUCUAAGAAAUUCCUUCGUUUUGAAUAAAUACUCAAAGCAUCCCUGACAUUUGCAUCUGUCACCUGAAUAAUCUCUUCGUCCACUUUUAAUGGUGUUUUCCCUUAAAUAUAGAAAAAAGUAAAAGAGAGGAGAGAGAACAUAUAUAAAAUUGAUAAAAUUACCCUUCUCUUGUUUUUCCUCAAUGGGAAAGCCUUCACGCAUCUACAGGUGAACUAGCCUUUUAGAUAUUUGGUAAAAUUACUUCACUAGUAUUGCAAUGAGCAUGAUUAAUUAAAAAAAUUCCUAAUGAAGAGGAUGUAAUUUCUCCAAAACCGAUACUUUUUUUCAACUAAUUUCCUCUUGUUAUCUAAUAGAAAGUAAAUUCAAGUUAAAGAAGCCAAAAGCGCGUGGCGAGAGAGCAAAUGAGUCUGUGCAUAAUAAGCCAAUAAACAAAGCCAACACUGUAUCUGCGAUCUCCUUAGUCCGUAAUGCGUCCACAUGGACAAGCUGGACCUCCAGGUCGACAGAAAGAGCCGAGUCGACGGUGAGGCAUAGGAUAGCUAGUAAGGACGAAAUCGACACUGAGCAACACGAGGAAGGUAAGCAAGAGAGUGGAGAUUUUGGGUUUGGAGGCGAGGGGGUUUGUGUGGAGAGGUUGGGAAGAGAGUUUGAAGAUGGCGAAGAUGAAAGGGGUGGGGAUAUUGAUGGCAGAGAAGCCGAUGGUGGAGGAGCAGUGCAGGGGAGAUGGCGGGGAGGGAGAGAAUGGAUCUGUCACUUUCAUAUGGCCAAAGGGUGUUUUCGUCCUUUCCAUGUCACUUAAGAAAAAAACGGAGGGACUAACGACGGAUGUAAACGUUAUUGACACAAUAAAUAUUUAUUUAAAACGAACGAAUUACUUAAAUAAUUUCGUCGGCUAAAUAAUUAAUUUUUUUAAAUUUGUUUAUCAAAAUUCAAUAAUUAAAUUAUGUAUAAAAAAAGAACACGGCACGCUUAGACAUGCUAUGCUUAGACAUGCUAUGCUAAUUGAAUAUAAAGAUUAUUAAAAAAUACAAACAAAGAAAAGAUGAUCCAUAAUACCACAUGAACAUAAAAUAAAAAAUUACUUAAAUUUUCUACUUUAAUAUUCUUAAUUAAAUUUUCAAUCUUAACAUCAUUAUUAAAAAUUAGGGCCUCUAUCUUUGAUUUGUUUAGAGAAAAUUAGCAAUUUGAUGAAGAAUUUCAAUAUUUUUAGAAGUUUCAAAUUCAUCACUAAAACACUACAUAUUUUAGGUUGUUCAAUAUAAUAUUAUAGGCAUUUUCUUGAUAAAAACCGAAGAUCACUAACAAUAUAUAAGUUUUGUGAAAUCUUGAAUUUCAAUCGACAUUGUGAAACGGCCUUCUAAAGUUAACACCACUAGAUAUUUAUGUAGUAAAAAACUUAUAAACUGUGAUAAUUAUUUGAAUUUUUUUUCAUUUGUAUAUCUUUAAACUUUUACUUUACGUACGAAUAAUUAUCUAAUAUAUAUUUAAGACCACAAUUUUAUUAAUAAAUUUUUAAAUAUUUUAUAAAUUUUUUAAAAUGUCUUUAAAAUAUUCAGGAGGUAUCUUGAAAUCUAAAAAAUUAAUAAAAUUUAUAAAAAAAAUAUGAAAAAUUUUUUUUCCUAGAUUGGUCGCUGCACUGCACAAAGCAAAUAAAUGAAAUGAAUUCCACAGUUUAAUAAUGUUAUUUUUUAUUUUAAUCACAAACCCAUUGGCCCGAGAGUAUAAAUAUCGUGCCCAGACAGAGCACAAACUUGCAAUGUUAGAAAGUCAAUCUUCUUUGUCUAGCAAAGAAUCUAAGGUUAAACUAGGUUUGGAUGGCUUGGGAUUAGAUGUUUGAGUUUGUUUAGGUUUUUCAUAGUCAUAUUAAUACUGAUAAAAUAAAUUAUUUUACUGGAAAAAAAAAAUCAUUUCCAUCUGUGUUUGAUCUUUGCUCAUCAAACCAUUCACUCACUUCCAACGAGAAAACAAUGGUAGAGUCUUUUUUGUUCAUUACUGCAGAAAGCGUUUUGGGCAAACUGACUGCUCUUGCUCUUCAAGAAUUUUUCUUGGCAUGGGGGCUUGAAGAUGACCUUGAAAAAAUUAAAGAGAUGUUACUUGCUAUCAAAGCUGUGCUUUCUGAUGCAGAGAAGCGUCAAUCCCAGGAUCACCGGAUAGAGUUUUGGCUUGGAAAGCUUAAAGAUGUUCUUUAUGAUACGGAAGAUGUGAUUGAUGAGUUCGAAUGUGAAGCUUUGCGAAGGCAAGUGGUGAAAUCCGGAAGCACUACUAGGAAGGUACGCCGAUUCUUUUCUACAUGUAAUCCACUUGCAUUCCGCCUUAAAUUGGGCCAUGAAUUAAAGAACAUUAGGAAGAGAGUAGCUGAAAUUGCAUCUCUCAAGUCUGAUUUUGGUCUCAAUGAGCAGAUUAAUGAUAAUUAUGUCAUCCAUACGGAGAAGCCCAUGACCCACUCCUUUGUGGAUCCUGCAACUGUCACUGGAAGAGACCAAGACACAUAAUUUAUCAUUAAAAAUUUGUUGAAUGCUGCUGAAAAUGACAAUGUCUCCAUUAUUCCAAUUGUUGGAAUUGGAGGAAUGGGGAAGACUACGCUUGCUCAAUUGGUGUAUAAUGAUCCUAGAGUAGUUACUCAUUUUGAGUUGAAAUUAUGGGUCUGUGUCUCUGAUAACUUUCAUUUGCAAACUGUGAUAAUUAAGAUUCUCAACUGUGUAAGCACUGGUCAAAGAUAUGUGGGUUUGGAUAUUGAGCAAUUGCAAAGAGCCUUGCGAGAGGCUUUACAAAGAAAGAGAUACUUACUCGUAUUGGAUGAUGUUUGGAAUGAGGAUAGAAAAAAAUGGGUUGACUUGAAAACUUUAUUAAUGGUGGGUGCUAAUGGAAGUACGAUCAUAGCCACCACACGAAGCAAUGAUGUUGCUACAAUUAUGGGCACAGUUGCUCCAUACGCUUUAGGUCGGCUUCCUGAACCAGAUUGUUUGUCUUUGUUUUUUAGAUGUGCAUUCGGAGAAGUGCAGAACCAAAAUCCAAACCUCAUACACUAUGGAGAACAAAUUGUGAGUAAAUGUAAGGGAGUUCCUUUAGCAGUAAUAACUUUAGGAACCCUACUUUACUCUGUAACAGAUGACAGUGCUUGGAAAUUUGUAAUGGAGAGUGAGAUAUGGAAAUUAAAGCAAAAGGAUAAUUAUAUUAUGCCUGCUUUAAAAUUGAGUUAUGAACUGAUGCCAGCCUACUUGAAGAGAUGUUUUGCUUAUUGUUCGAUUUUUCCAAAAGAUUAUCCAUUUGAUGAUGUUGAAUUGGUUUAUUUUUGGAUGUCACAUGGACUUAUUCAAUCUUCAAAUGAAAAUGAAGAGUUGGAAAAUGUGGGCUUGCGCUAUUUCCAAGAGCUAUGCUCUAGAUGUUUUUUCCAAGAGUUCUAUAUAAUAGAUGGCCAUGUUAAAUGUAAAAUGCAUGAUCUAAUUCACGAUCUAGCAUUAUCAGUCACUCAAAAUGAAUGCUUAACGGUAAUAAAUGGCAAUGAACCAUUAUCUGACAGCAUUCGACACUUAUCAUUUCCCUACCCUCAAUUACUUCCACAGGAUCUUCCAACACCCUUACAAGACCUAGAUUCUGUAAGAACUGUUUCCAUUUUAAAUGAAAGAAGCGGGGCUGUUGCAAGUGAAGUUUUCAUUGAGACAUGUAUCUCAAAAUUCAAAUACUUGAGGACCUUGGAUUUGGGUUUUUCCAGGGUGGCUGUACUCCCUAGAGGGAUAGCCAAAUUGAAGCAUUUGAGAUAUCUUAGUUUGUAUGGGAAUAUUCGCAUCAAAAGACUGCCUGAGUCCAUAUGCAAACUACAAAGCUUGCAAACUCUACUGCUUGGUGAUUGUGAUGGUCUUAGAGAGUUGCCCAAAGAUAUAAAGUACUUGAUUAGCCUUAGAAUGCUUUGGAUAACUACACAGCAAAGGUAUUUACCAAAUGGUGGAAUUGGGUGCCUCGGAUCUCUUCGAUAUUUGUUCAUCAUCGGUUGUGAAAAUUUGGAGUAUUUGUUUGGAGAUAUCCAAGGUCUGAAAAAACUUCAAACUUUGGUUAUCCGUCAUUGUCACAGCUUGGUCUCUUUGCCACCAAGUGUGAAAUUUCUAGCUGCUUUGAAGACUCUUGUUGUUGCGAGUUGCGAAAAUCUUGAUUUGACAAUGGAGGAAGGAAUAGAUAGUCAAGACUCGACAAGCCAAUUAUUUAGCCUUUGCAAACUGGAGAUUGAAGGCUUACCAAAGUUAGUGGAUUUUCCGCAAUGGCUUCUUCACAGAUCUAAUACCGGUUUAAAAGUUAUCAAAGUUGCAUGUUGUUGCAACUUCAGGAACUUUCCAAACUACAUGCACGGCAUACCAUCGCUUGAGUUACGUAUCACUGGGUGCCCCCAAUAUCAAGGGGAGGAUAUUAUUAUAUGAAAUAAAGGGUAAUUUUAAACGACUUGUAUUUUGGAGGAAUGAUUUUGGAGGAAUGAUGUAGAGAGUAUGUUAUUAAUCAACUUAUUUAAUUUUCUUUUCAUCUAAAAAAUAAUUUUACUUGUGGUCAAAUGUUUUUUUUCAUAUAUUUAACUAAUUAAAAUUAAAAUACAAUAUGCUUAGAAAAUUUACCAUUUCGUAAGAGAACAUUAUAUUUUAUGUAUGUAUAUAUGUUAAUUUGACAAUUCUUAUGUCUCUGGAUUAAUAGGUCAAGACCUCAAUAACUCACUCGGUUUAGUUUGAGUGUUUGGAAGAUGGAAAUUAUAUGAGGUUGCUAGGUGCAGUGAAUUGCCUUAUAUGAGGUAAAUAUUUCGCUUUUUAAAGACAAUAUCUUUUUUUUUUCCCUUUAUAUUUGUUAAUUUCCUCUUUGUAUAUAUUCACACACUUUGAUAAAAUUGAAUUUGUUAGAGAAAAUGGACACUUGUCACCUAUUAGCUAAGGUUUUUGAUUUGAAUUUGAGUAGACUGUUUUUGACUUGGAUUGUAUAUUGCAGGUGUUGUGGCCUUUCAACAAAAAUUAUCGGCCAAUGAUAAACAUAAAUGUUAAAUGUUCAAUUAGUUGGGCUUUUUUUUUUUUUUCAUACAACCAGGAGGAGUAAUUUCUUUGGAUCGUAGAGCGUAAAUAUUUUUUAAAAUCAUUUACCAUUCUAACCAUCACUUUGUUGGUUCCAUUUCCUUCCUUGUUGUGUUAUUAUUUACAAUUUUCCGUGGUUUGUGGAUUUGAGUAUUUUAUGUUUGUCUAGUGUAAUUGUAUUAAUGUUGUACUACAUAUUUGUAAUAUUGUACUUGUAUAAAAGAAGUCCUUUAAAACUUAAGUGCAUGUCAUUAAUUUUUAAGCGGGCGAUCUACUCGCUGCCAUCUUUUUAUGUGCCCUGUUAUGGAUUUGAUAUUUGAUCGUUGAUUCUUAAUACCCUUCAAAUAAAACUGAAAAUAGAUAUCGGUUGAUCCUUUAAAUUUGAAAUCUUCUUUCUAAAGUGAUAGUCAGUUUUGUAUUUAAAAUUGACUUAAAAAAGUCUCGCUAUGAGUAUUAUUGUAAAUAAGUCAAUCUAUAUAUGAAAAUGCUCGAGGCUCUGUUUAAAAAAAGCUCGCUUGAACUUGUUCGAUAAGUUUAACGAGUUGACUCAAGCUGAACUAUCAAGUUCAUUUAAUAAAUACAUUAAUGACUUAUCAAGCUCAACUAGAUAUGUGUUAAUUUUAUAAAAUUAUAUAUUAAUUUCGCUAUAAUUUGGAAAAUCAAAAUUUUAUAUUUUUCUUUAAAAAAUAUUAUUUGUCUUUUCAUAUAAAUUGACGGAUAAAUGACCAACUUUUAAAACUGACGGAUGUAUGUAUUAGUUUCGUUAUAGAAAUUUCGCUAUAAUUUGGAGAUUUAAAAUUGUCUUUUUUUUUUUUUUUAAACAAGAUUAUUUUAAUCUUUUUAUAGAAAUUAAUGGAUAAAAGAUCAACUUUUCGAACCGAAAGAUGUAUGUAUUAGUUUCGUUAUAGGAAUUUCGCUAGCAACGCAAAAAUUUAUUUUUUUCUUACUAUUAUUGUACGCACACAGGCCUGCCAAACUAGGAGGAAAACUUUGAGGCCCAUUGGAUGGCAGAGACUAUCUAGGUCUUCUAUGGAUUCUUCUCCUUCUCCAAUAAUAUAGGAUGUGCAUUUUUCUCAAGUCUUAAAAUAUUCCUUUUUAAAAAAAAAAAUUCGUCCAAUGUAUGUUUGACACCUCAUUUAUUUAUUUUUUUUUAAAUGUUUCACCGAAUUCAUUGUAUUCUUAAAAAAAACAUAAAAAUUUGUAACUUCGUGGAGAAUAAAAGAGAACGAAAAACCUUAGUUCAAAGUUUAUGUCUAGGGUGUAUAAUAUUUUGCAAUAGUUAUUCUUUUUAUCUAUUAUGGUCAUCUACUCCAUAUUAUUUUUCAUUUUAGUUUAAUUUUAUUGAUUUAAAUUACUUCAAUUUAAAUGACUAUCAUUUAUGUAUUUUAAUGGAUAUCUCAAUUUAAUUCAUGCGUGAAUGGAAAUUAUUUCUUUUUUCGAAUAAAUUUAAGAGUACAGUUCUUAUAUUUUAUGGAAAUAAAUUAGAUUAGGAGUGAAAAAUAAAGAGCCACGAGAUUGAAUUUUAACAAUAAAUAGAAAAUAUAAAUUCAUUUUCAUUCAAUGCACUAAAUCAAUACAAAUCAAAUCAAUGCCAGACACUAAAUCUCUAUAUAUCCAUUUAAAUACAAAAAAGUCAAUUUCAUAUUUUAAAUAUUGAUAUUGAUAUUUAAUGGAUAUAAUAUAAAAUAAAUCUGUUAUUUAUUUAUUUUUUAUUGGUUUUUAUAAACAAAUAUAUUAUUAAAAAAAAAUCAAUCAAUCUACGAGAUAAUCAAAGUAGCAUGUUUGUUCAAAGGGUUACCCAAAUCCCAAGAUAUGCAUUAAAUGAUGUUACAACUUACCUUACCAUACAUAAACAAAAAAAAAAAAAAAAAAAAAAAAAAUGUAGGUCAAUCUUGAAUCCCACUGUUGAAAUGAAAACCCUCUCUGUGAAGGUUUUGGAUUUUAUUGGCAAAAAAAGACAUUGAGAUAAUGAGAUAUGUUAACAUCAAUUAAUGUUAUUAUAUUUUAUUUUAUUUAAUCAUAAAAUAAAAUACUAUGCAAGCCAUUUUCAUUUGCAUCGAUAGGUCACUCUCACACACCCAAGUCUCAAUACAUUCUAAGACACUUGACACCAAUCUUUAUUACUAAACAGUGGACACAUGUUACUUGGAGAAUACUAUGUACAAUCUCUUAAUUAAAUUUUCUUUCAAACACUUAUUGUUUAUUUGUUGAAACUCAUCUGUUUUUUUUUUUUUCUUAACCACCUAUUUUCUUGGCAUAUUGGAUUAGAAUUAAAUCUGCUCAUACUAGAUUGGCUCCACUCAAUAAUAAAGUGCUCCAGCCAGUAUUUAUUCCGUAUAUGAAAAUCGAAUUUAAUAUAAUACGUAGAUUUAAAUUAUCCUUAUCAGAUCAAGCGGCGUAUAAAAACUGAUUUGAAACUAUAAGUGAUGUGAAACCAUAGAGUUAUAGGUGACUUACUUUUAAAUUAAAUAUAAAUAUAGAUUAAUUAAAUGAUAAUUAUUGAAAGAGAAUACUAUUAUUAAAUAUUAAAUAUUAAUAUCAAUGUCGGUUGCUAGCAUUUCUAUACGUUACAGUCCACCACUACUAAUUACAUCAUAGGAUAGCUCCAAAAUUAGGGAAGAGUACAUUUGUGCAUUUCUCAUUGGACAAGCAAUGCUUAAAACAAAUUAAUUACUAUUUAAACCCGUUUAAAAAUAUAUUUUGUAUAGUAUGUAAUCUUUAAGUUUGCAUCUACCCCUAUAAAGUUAAAAUAUCUUUUUUAAUAAUUAAAUAUAUAUAAAUUAUCAUAAACAUUCGCUUCAUAAAUUUAACUAUUUUGAUAAUAUAUUUAGUUUUUUAAUUAAUAUAAAAUAUUUCCUAAUACUAUAUUCUUAGUUCUUCCUAUAAAUAUUUUAAUAUCAUGCAAGAAUCAAAGCAACUAUAUUCAAAGAAAAGAUCUAGCCAAGUAUAUGUAUGCAAUUUUUUUUUUUUACUUAUUGUUUUAAUAUAUAUUUUUUUAUUAUCACUAUUAGAUAUAUUAAAUUCAUCUCUAUGUAUAACUAUUAAGAUAUAUUUUUACAGCAAACUAUUUUAUAUUUUGUGUUUUCACGUUAAUUUUUUUUAAAAUUUUUCCAGAAAUUAUGUUAACGAAAUUUCUUUAAUUUUUAACAUUUAUACUAAAAUAUUUUUGCAUAUUAUUGCUGAAGUUUUUCAUUUAACGGUAACAAUUUUGUAUAAUAAUUACUUUUAUUAUACUAUUAGAUCGCAGUUGCCAGCACCUUUCCAUAUUUUAUUCCACCACUCCCAGUUACAUCAUAGGAUAGCUCCAAAAUUGGUAAUAGUAUAUUUCUGGAUUUCUCAUUGGAUGAGCAAUAAAUUAAUUACUAUUUGCACACCGAAACAUAAUUUAAUGAUAAAUAUAUAUACUACCUGAUAAUAAAUUCAGAUUUAAAUUUUUUCUCCCGGUACUCAAGAAAAAAAGCACUAUUUAAGCUCACAUAAAAAUAUAAUAUAUAUUAGUAUGUAUCUUUAAGGUCUUGAUUUUCCUAUUUAAGAGUCUUUAUAAAUACAGAAAUAUAUAUUUUUAAUAUUAUACAAGCAUUUAAAUAAGUAUUCAGAUGAAAGCUUAGAUAUAUUAUUUUCUUCUGUAUUUAUUGUUUUAAUAUAUAAUUUUAUAUUAUCACAUUCUAUAUUAUCACAAAGGCCAUACCCACGAAAAUUUCUUUAAUUUUGAAUUUUUUUUGAAAGGAAAUUUUGACUAUUCAACGUUCAACUAAAAUUUUCAUGUUUUUAUUGAAGGUUUUUCAUUUGAAUGUAUAUCGAAUUUUAUAUAAUAAUUACACUCUUAUUUUAUUAAAAUUCAAAUGAAUCAUAUUUUUAAUAAUUUUACAAUAUGCAUAAUAAUUAUAUUCAAUAUUUAAAUUUAUUAAAAUGUGCUAAUAUAAAAGUCAUAAAAAGAUUAGUCAUCAUAAAAGUAGAAAAAAAAAAAAAAAAAAAAAAAAAAAAAGAAAACAUUGUGAAGGUUUGAUUUUUAUUCUCUAAUCACUAAACCGCGUAUUAUAGUUGAUUAAUGACAUCUCUAAGAUAACAUUAAUUUAUCAUGUGAGACGUGGGCAUCUUGCAAACCCAAGAGGAUUAGAGAGCGAGCGGAAAGGAAAAUCCAAAAACACGUGGCAAAAAUAUAGUGGAUUAGGCCAGCGUUUGCAUGGAAGGAACAUAUGUAGGUCCCAGUGACGAGUCCUUAUCGGACUGAAGUUUUGCCACGUGUCCACCAUCUACAGAAACUUGAUUGAUACCCUACGACGCGUGUGUACUGGUUCACCACCACUGACCUAAUCCUGGUGGGGUCAAGCCAAUUAACUUUAUGGCCGACACUUACUCACCAAAAUGGGAAAAGUCUAUCUUUUGCAUAAACGUCCUCAUAAUUUCCCGAAUUUAAAAUUGUGACCUAAAAUAAACUAAAUUUAGCAAUUCAUCCCCAAUACUUAUUUAAUAAUUAUAAAUUUAGCAAUUUGAAAGUAGCCCUUUUCAAGGAAUCACUUUUUAGGUUAGUAGCUCAACUAAAUAUCAACUCUAAUAGAUUUNNNNNNNNNNNNNNNNNNNNNNNNNNNNNNNNNNNNNNNNAAAAAAAAAAAAAAGCAUUUCUCUAACUUUGAUAGUAAGGGUUAGAUGAUCUAAUAUCUAUAGAUUAUUAGGGAAACAAAAAUAGAAAAAGUGAAAUUUUAUGUUAGAUUUUUAGAUCAACCUAACAAUUAAUUGUUGGAUUUAGGGUUACAUCAUGAGAUAUGUCACAUUCAAAAGAAUUAAAAAGAAGAAAAAAAAAGAUUCUUUAAGUCAUUUAUAAAUGAUAUAGUAAUUUAUUUAUGUUUAUGAUAUUCAUUGCUAAGGAUAUUUUUCUUUAAUAUAUUAUUUCUUAAAAUAUCCUCUAAUCUUAUUUUAUUAGAUAAAUUAUUGAAUAUGAGGUAGCUUUUUUUCUGUAAAAGUUUAAACUCGAUGUUUUUUAAAACAUAAAUGUGUAACUUAAGGGUUUAUUCGGCAAAAUUAGCUAUUUUAGUAGCAUUUAGUUAUUAGCUUUUAUUUAGCUUUUUAUGAAACUGAAAAUCUAAACCUUAUAUGAAUUAACUUUUCAUAAAAUGCUACCUUAACAUUUAAAACUUAAUUCCAACGGUAUGUUACCUGACCACUAUAAAAAAUAGCAUUAGUGUUUUGGCUGAUCAAAACUCUAAACGUUACUUAAAAAAUUAUUAUAAAAUACUAUUUUUGAAAGUCGUAAAAAGAUUAUAAUCUCUAAAAGAAAAAAUUACAAUCUAUAAAUGAUAUUUGCAAUAAAUAUAUAAAUAUAUUCAUGGCUCUAAAAACCUCCCAAUUCAAUCUAAUUCGAGUAAAGAAUUUUAAAUUUAGUUAGUUAGGGAUUUUAUUUCAAGCUAUGUCAAAUUCACCUAAUUAAUAAAAUAUUAAUAUUUUAUAUAUACUUUAUUGUUAUGAGUAAGAUUUAAAUAAAUUUCUAAACUCCAUAUUAGCUAGGUCUAGAUAGGCUAGACCCAAAUUUAGAAUAAAACAUCUUAAUCUAUCUUAGGCUAAACCUUUUUUUUUUUUUUUUAUAACCAAGAGAGCGAAAAAGUGCAAAAAUUACCUUUCUCGACGAUUGAACUUGUGUUUUUACCUUUAAAAAAGUUGAAGUUGCUUACUACCUCAACCAAUACCUUGUUUGUUUAGGCUAAACUUAUUUAAGAAUUCAUAAAUUAGCAAAUUUUAUCAAAUUAAAAUUUAAUAAUUCAUUGAAUAAAUAUUGUGUCUAGACUUGACUAGACUCAUUAAGCCAGAGAAAUUGUAAUUAAAUAUAUUUUUGUUUCAAUUUAAACCUAUACACAAUUAUAAAAUAAAGUAAAAUAAGAGGAAUACAAACAAAAUAUGGAAACUAUGAGGACUAACACAAAUAGCACUUUGAAAAGUCAUUAAAAAAAAAUCCAAAAGAAGAAAAAAUAGAAGGGGCAAAAAUAAACCUUGAAUCCUAUAGGGCCAUUUAUGGACCUUUAUAAUUUUGGAAUUAAAGCUUAUUCCAAAGAAUUAUGUUUGUGGUUCAUGUUGCUAAAUUAUUACCACUCAUAACCAAGACCAUAACGAUAUCCCAAUCUUUAACUCUUUUUUCUCACUAACAAAAUCCCACUUCUCCUUCAUCACUAUCUUGUCCACUUCUUGCACACAUAAUAAUCAACUUAAUAAAACCAGAAAGAAAUACUCUUUCUCUAUGUUAAGUGCUAAAAGAC